rnacentral:tRNA from 1 species
GGAAGGAUGGCCGAGCGGUUGAUGGCGCUGGUCUUGAAAACCAGUUUAGGGCUUUGCCCUAACGGGGGUUCAAAUCCCUCUCCUUCCG